UACGGAGGGAGCUAGCGUUGUUCGGAAUUACUGGGCGUAAAGCGCACGUAGGCGGCUUUGUAAGUUAGAGGUGAAAGCCCGGGGCUCAACCCCGGAAUUGCCUUUAAGACUGCAUCGCUUGAAUCCGGGAGAGGUGAGCGGAAUUCCGAGUGUAGAGGUGAAAUUCGUAGAUAUUCGGAAGAACACCAGUGGCGAAGGCGGCUCACUGGACCGGUAUUG
rnacentral:rRNA from 1 species